UGGGGAAUAUUGGACAAUGGGGGAAACCCUGAUCCAGCAAUGCCGCGUGAGUGAAGAAGGCCUUAGGGUUGUAAAGCUCUUUCGCCCGCGAAGAUAAUGACGGUAGCGGGAGAAGAAGCCCCGGCUAACUCCGUGCCAGCAGCCGCGGUAAUACGGAGGGGGCUAGCGUUGUUCGGAAUUACUGGGCGUAAAGUGUACGUAGGCGGAUGCGCAAGUUGGGGGUGAAAUCCCGGGGCUUAACCUCGGAAUUGCCCUCAAAACUGCACGUCUUGAGACCGAGAGAGGUAAGGGGAAUUCCUAGUGUAGAGGUGAAAUUCGUAGAUAUUAGGAAGAACACCAGUGGCGAAGGCGCCUUACUGGCUCGGUACUGACGCUGAGGUACGAAAGCGUGGGGAGCAAACA
rnacentral:rRNA from 1 species